GAUGAACGCUGGCGGCGUGCUUAACACAUGCAAGUCGAACGAAGCACUUUAUUUGAUUUCCUUCGGGACUGAUUAUUUUGUGACUGAGUGGCGGACGGGUGAGUAACGCGUGGGUAACCUGCCUUGUACAGGGGGAUAACAGUUGGAAACGGCUGCUAAUACCGCAUAAGCGCACGGCAUCGCAUGAUGCAGUGUGAAAAAGUCAGGUGGUAUAGGAUGGACCUGCGUUGGAUUAGCUAGUUGGUGAGGUAACGGCCCACCAAGGCGACGAUCCAUAGCCGACCUCGGAGGCUGACUGGCCACAUUGGGACUGAGACACGGCCCGAACUCCUACGGGAGGCAGGAGUAGGGAAUAUUGCACCAUGGGCUAAAGCCUGAUGCAGCGACGCCGCGUGAGCGAAGUAGUAUUUCGGUAUGUAAAGCUCUAUCAGCAGGGAAGAUAAUGACGGUACCUGACGAAGAAGCACCGGCUAAAUACGUG
rnacentral:rRNA from 1 species